rnacentral:rRNA from 1 species
AUGAACGCUGGCGGCGUGCCUAAUACAUGCAAGUCGUGCGAACAGACGAGGAGCUUGCUCCUCUGACGUUAGCGGCGGACGGGUGAGUAACACGUGGAUAACCUACCUAUAAGAUUGGGAUAACUUCGGGAAACCGGAGCUAAUACCGGAUAAUAUAUUGAACCGCAUGGUUCAAUAGUGAAAGACGGUUUUGCUGUCACUUAUAGAUGGAUCCGCGCCGCAUUAGCUAGUUGGUAAGGUAACGGCUUACCAAGGCAACGAUGCGUAGCCGACCUGAGAGGGUGAUCGGCCACACUGGAACUGAGACACGCUCCAGACUCCUACGGGAGGCAACAGUAGGGAAUCUUCCGCAAUGGGCGAAAGCCUGACGGAGCAACGCCGCGUGAGUGAUGAAGGUCUUCGGAUCGUAAAACUCUGUUAUUAGGGAAGAACAAAUGUGUAAGUAACUAUGCACGUCUUGACGGUACCUAAUCAGAAAGCCACGGCUAACUACGUG